AAUCACUACCAUGGCAACCAAGCCUCUGUGACGUUCCAGCAAGCUCAUUGUCUUCUCUUCACUAAACUUUAGUUAGUAGUUGGUCCCAGUCAGUAACACUCUGGGAGGGCUCAGGCCACAUCACGAAAUGUGACAGGAUAGCCUUGAACUCAUCAAUUGCUGGGGGCACCUCAAACUCAACUCCAAAAUUGAUCUAAUGAACUUUCCCAAACCACAUUCCCUUCUUGCAUUUCUGAGAGAAUGGAUUCCCAUUCAUCUGACUACAGUGCUACCCUGAAAGCAGAUCCAGAGACUAAGAUUCACCUGCAGGUGAUUCAUUUGCAAGGUAAGCUGUCAUCAGUUGGAGGUAAGCAGAAGACAGUAGAGAGUACAGAGCCCUGGACUGUGACUCAGAGGAUGAGCACCAGAUCCAGUUUGCUGUGCCACAGUGGGCCUGUGAUAUUUUGAAGCAGGAAGCUGACCUGAGACCUUCAGAAUAAACUGAUCACUGUGGAUAAUGAAAAGGCCCCACCCAGGACAUUGAUUGAGCACCCCUGCCUGUCUCAUUCCUUCUUCUCUUUCUUUUUAUUAUGUGCUUACCAUAAUAAAAAUUUUUAUUGUCUUUAGAUCUGUUUGCUUUUCACACAUAGUGGACUCUUAUCUCUCUUUUUCACUCAUUUUCUUAAACUGCUAGGGAGAAUAAAGUGUCAGGUCCUAUUUUGGUGCUCACUGCUGAUGAAUUAAGGUUUAUUCUUCUUCUUCCUUGUCCCCCACAUAUGGGAAAUCUAGUAAGAAAUCGUAGAAGCUCCCUUAUCUGAUGCCAGUGUGAGGUUUAAAUCACACAAGCUCCUUCUCCUGAGUAGAAACGUGCCCCUACCCCCAACCCCACCACCAAAUCAUUAUAAAGCCCUGAGCCAGCCUCCUUUCCUGUUCCAUUGAAGAAAUUCCAGUUUGGAAUUUCUUGAGAGGCCUGUGCUGCUCUCAGCAGACAAUAAUAGAGUUGGUAAAUCUUUUCAUAACCACCUGAGGUGUGAGUGUGGCACUAUCAGACCUGACAUCCACACUAACAAUUGGUGGGCUCUCUCUUCUUUUGCAUGGGGUCACCUACAAUUGGAACUAUGGGUUUGGAGUCCUGACAGUGACCACCACGGGGCCUUUCUUCUUUUGCACUGGAUGCUAACUCCCUCUGCCCCAGUGCCCAGCAUGCACUUUAUCCUGCCUGCUGCUCACUGACCCUUGGAGUUCUGUUGAGCUGGGCUGCAGUGUUGAGUUAAACACCACACCUUUUAUAGAUUUAGCUGAUUGAAUUCAGAAGCAUUGAUAAUUUAUUCACAUUGAGAAACAGGAGUGAUUGUAGGUGACUCUGCCUUUGGUGCAUGUGAGAAAAUUUUUCUCUUGUCACCACAAAUGUUUCUUCUUCAGGAAGAACAGGAUAAGGAAUCCAGAGAAGUGCCCCAGAGGAAACUGUUUCAUGGAGAGGAAGCCACAGGGCUGACAGGAAACCAGACCUUAGCCUCCCUCUGCACCUGCCCUGAGGCUGGCUUUUGUGCUCAGUGGGUCCUGAGUGCCCCCAGCUGGUCCUGUUCCCUCUUCAGGGAGGCUUGUUUCUGGGCUCAUACUGACAUUUUUUCUAAUUGUGUUCCCCAAAAUGGAGACAGAGUAAACCGUGAAUCCAUGCAUCUCAGAGAACAGAGAACAGCAGAAUUACACCCACUGAUCCCCCCCACACACAUUUAGGUAAAUCUUAUUAAAACUGCUGAAAAGGAAAGACAAAUAGAAAUAUACGCAGGCAAGUGGAGGUGAGCAGAGGGGGCAUUCCUUCCAAAAGAACAGAAAAGAUGAUGACAGCAUUCUUCUGGUUAAAACCUUACAAGCAAGAGGAAAGUUGAUGGUAUCUGUAAAGUGUUGGAUGAAAAGUCAACCCAUUAUUUUAUAACGCAUGGGUGUUCUCUAAAAAGUGAAAAAAAAUUCUAUUUCUCUUUGACAGCAUGAGGGUUUCAGUGAAUCCAGGCCCUCAUGAGACCAGUGAAAAUUAUUUUGAAAAAUUACAGGGUUUGGAAAGGCUCUAACAACAUAAAGCAAGUGAAGAAAUAUUUAUUCAAGAAAAUCUAGAAAACUCAGUAAGGCCAGUCAUCAUACUUGAUCUAAGAUGCUCUUCCUUCCUUCCACAUCCCAGCUCAGCAUGAUGUAAACUCCACUGCGGACAGAUGCAGCCAAGAAGACAGGUCACCUUCUACCAACUCCCACCAGAGGAAACUCUUCCCCAGGACCCAGUACGUUGGCCCUCUGACCCUGCACACAGCACAUGAUGCUGAGGUUCAGUGCUGAACAAGAGCUACUGAGAGCCAGAGAUUCACUUCUUCCAUGGAGCCCCACUCAUGGAUGGAGGCUCUGUCCCGGGUCCAGUGCCACUGGGAACACUGGGUCUCUGGUUUCUAGCUCUGUCCUAUGGCAGAGGUUCCACCCCACAAUAACCGAAGUGCUGAGAAGGUGGGAAGCUCCUGCCCGACCCUCCACUGAGAGCUCAGCUCCUAGGCUGAGGAAUAAAACAGCUCAACUUUGUCUACACCUGCAGAACCUUGUUUAGGAGCUCUGUCCCAGGAGAGAGGGGGCAAUGGAAUUCAGUCAUAAAAUAUGAUCCUUAAUUAGUCCUAAAAAUCCUAACUUCAGUAACAGCAGAUUGUGGACAAAUUGAAAGCCUGCCAGUGCUCUCAAAAACAGUGGAUGGUGUGGUGGAAAGCCCUUGGAAGGAGACGGGUGGAUGCAUGGGAGAUGCAGGCUACACUGCAGGGCUGCUGGCUUGCAGGAGAGAACCGAGGACAAGGGAGAGCUGGGGAAAGUUCUCUUGUGGUUGAAAUAAAUGCCAGACACUCUUCAAUGGAGCCCAUGUUUGUUUGGUUCAGUCUGUGAAGUAAUUCAAACCUCAGUGCAUGAUUGAAAAUAGUACAAUUUUCCAUCUGCAAGUGGCAGAGCUCAACAUCUGGGUCUGGUCAGGAGAGAGACAGAGAGAGCCCAGCCCAAACCACUGACACCUGGGGUUGACAGUGCUGCUUACAGAUGUGUUCCUUUGAUCUUUGAGACUGGUUUCUCUCACUUAGCAUAAUGCCUGGAGUUCAACUGUAAUGGUUUGUGAAUCGAUCAUUUGAUAUUUUUUAUUGCUGAUGGAUUCAAUUUAUAGAUGCUUCCUAGUUUUUUCACCUACUCAAAUUUUGAGACAUUUAUGUUAUUUUUCAUUUCUAACACACACACAUGUAAUAUCUUGAAUAUUUGAAUAGAGGUUUUGUGUGAAAAUAAGAUUGUAUUUCUCUGAAGCAAAAUUCAAGAGUGGGAUAUUUAGGUCAUGUGUUAAGGGCAUGUUUGAUUGCAGAAAAAACUAAAAAUUAUUUUCCCGAGUAGCUGUUUCAUUUUGCAUUCCCAUUAACAAUGUCGUAGACACUAGGAACUUGGUAUGCUCAUCAGCAUUGGUAUUACCUGUAUUUCUUCUUAAUUUCAGCCAUUCUAAAAAGUGUAUAGUGGUGUCUCAUUGUGGGCUUGAUUUGAAUUCCUUUAAUGGAAAAUCCUGUUAACAGCCUGUUUAUAUGCUUAUGUGUCAUCUGCACAUCUCAUUUGAUGAAAUGUCUGCACAAACCUUUGCCUAUUUUAUCCAUGGGUUGUUUC
rnacentral:lncRNA from 1 species